rnacentral:rRNA from 1 species
UUAUCGGAGAGUUUGAUCCUGGCUCAGGACGAACGCUGGCGGCGUGCCUAAUACAUGCAAGUCGAGCGGACAGAUGGGAGUUUGCUCCCUGAUGUUAGCGGCGGACGGGUGAGUAACACGUGGGUAACCUGCCUGUAAGACUGGGAUAACUCCGGGAAACCGGGGCUAAUACCGGAUGGUUGUCUGGACCGCAUGGUUCAGACAUAAAAGGUGGCUUCGGCUACCACUUACAGAUGGACCCGCGGCGCAUUAGCUAGUUGGUGAGGUAACGGCUCACCAAGGCGACGAUGCGUAGCCGACCUGAGAGGGUGAUC